AUUAUACUCAGCCAAUCAAUCCAUUUUAUAAUUGACAGCACACUAAUUUCUCUCUUGUCUUCCUUGGUUGUCCAUGGCUAAUAAAGGAAAUAAUGCUAUUCUCGUAACUCUAGGGUGCUGAGACUUGGGACUGGUUUUUGACCCAUUUCUGUUAUGUUUUAGGAAAAAUAAUAUUCACAUAAAAUGUAGAUAAUUUCAUUAGCUUUCUAACAAUACCAGUUGUGUCUAAAUUGGAUAUCCACAGCCCAUGUUAUACCCGUUUUACUGAAGCUGGAUCUAAGGUUACGGGAAUUCAAAAAAGAUGACAACUCUAUCCUUUCUCACCAUUUGUUUCCCAAUAUUUUUCUUGUGUGAACACAAGCCUCUUUAUUUCCCUUUCUUUUUAUUUUCUUUUUAAAUCCCUUAAUUAAAUAAAAAUAAAUAAACCAAUAAAAGGAAAUUAAUGUGUAUAAAACUAUUGCAUGCACACCAUGCAACCAUGCACAUGCACAUACUCAAUCAUUAGGGUGAAUACUACCUACCAUGCACCUUAGUGCAUUCAACCAAAUCUCACAUAAUCACAUUUUAACAAUUAAUUUCACAAAAAUGCUACCAACAAUUCUAACAAUUAAAUAAAAUAACAAACCAUUAAAUACAACAAACAACAAUUAAAUAAAAAUAAACAACAUUUAAAUAAAAUUAUUCACCACACUUAACACUUAAAUAAAACAAAACAGGAAAAUUUUAAUAACUAAAAAAAAAUAUGGUGCACUACAAUAUACCCUCCUUAAAAAGAAUUUCGUUCCGAAAUUCUUUCUUACCAAAUAAAUCAGGGUAUUUUUCUUUCAUGUCUUCCUCCAACUCCCAUGUUGCUUCUCGUUCCGUACUAUUCUUCCACAGGACCCACUACACCAAACACUCCUUUCCAUAACACAUCAUUAUAAUACUAUUUAAAAAGUAUUAUAAUUAAAAUAUGGUAAUAGCCAAAGUAAAAAAAAAGUUGAAACAAAAUGGCGGGCCUCAAAAUUUUUAAGCGGCAAUGAUAUAUUUGCUAAACAUCUCUUUUUUCCUCACUCACUCUCUUCCUCUCUCUAAAACACUCUCUGCUCCUUGGUUCCUCUUCAUCAGUCUCUCUUCGUGGAGUACUCUCUCUGUCACCCUCUCCCUGUAAAGUCCACUCAAUUGUUUUCUCUCCCCAACGAAACCCUCUCCUUCAAUUUUUCUCCUCAUUGGAAGCCCUCUCUGUUGCUCUCUUCCCUGGGGACGCCCUCUCUCAUGCUUUCUCUUGGAAAUGAAGCAUCUACAAGAACAAAGGUCUAUGCGGCCCAGAAAUGAGCGAGAAGGGUACGGUCGAUGCCUUCUUCUUUGACCAACAAGGCAGAAAAUUCUGAAAACCCUAGCAGAAAGCAAGUGCAAUAUAGCUAGUUGUAUAACUAAGACAAAGGCAGAUAUGCAAGUGAGGGAGAACAUCUUGGUCUUGCUUGACUCUUGGCAAGAAGCUUUUGGUGGGCCUGGAGGAAAGCAUUCUCAAUAUUAUUGGGCAUAUGAUGAAUUAAGGGUCUCUCUCUCUCUCUCAAAUCAGAUGAAUUGUUAUCCAAUAACAGUGAAUUGAAUGAAUGACAACAUUCUGGAGUAGAAUUUCCCAAGCAUUCAUUAGACGCCGUCCCUAUUUUUACACCCCCUACUUCACAUCAGACCAUGGGUCGUCCUCAACCUAGAUAUGGAAUGCCUAGCAAUGCUUCAAGAAGGCUUGAUGAAACUAUGGCUACAGAAAUUGAGAGUUUGAGCUUGUCAAGCAUGGAGGCUAUGCAGAAUGUUCUGGAACUCCUAAUUGACAUGCUACAGGCAGUAAAUCCUGGUGAUUUUGCGGCUGUAAAAGAUGAAGUGAUAGUUGAGCUUGUUAAUGGUGCCGCACCAACCAGAAAAAGUUGAUGCAAAUGCUCACUUCAACUGGGUUAGUUUCAUCUAUACAGUCAGGAUAUUAUUUAAGAAUAAUUUGCUCAUUGUAUUAUAUAUUACUGUUUUCCUGGUGUGCCCUUUGAUGCUGUGCAUCUUUACAAGGAUUGAUAGUCAUGCAAUAGAAGAAGUCCAAGUAGUGUUGUUCCAUCUCAGAUUGGUCCAAUAUCGAGAGUUGGCACUGACAGCUCGUCUCUUGUUCGAGAUGGAAGGGUCUGCACUAGCAGCCCUCUUGCUACUUCUAGAUUGGCCCGAUCCUUUGGCAUCGACUCCUUUUGGAGUGGCCCGAUCGUCGUCAUGGCUUGAUAUGAAUGGAGGAGGGCUGAGGCAACUAAAGAUGAUAGAUUUGGAGCUUUAAGUAGGACAUAGUAUGGUCUUGUUGACCUUGCAGCUGCUUUAUUCUAUCGGGCUUGUGUUAACAAAGAUAAGCCAUCAUCAUCUGAGAAGCGGGUGAAGAGAGAGCAUGCUGAUGCACGUUUAAGAGAAGAGCUCAAAAAAGGAAAGUGGCUAUGGUAAAUCAUAAACUGAUUAAUUUGGCAAUAUCAAGUUUCCUUUUUUGUAAUUGUUAUUACUUUUUAUAAAGAAAAUGCAACAAUUCUCCCAUUCCUUAAUUUAGGAGUCUAAUAGUUUAUGAGUUGUGUGAUGUGAACAUUGUAAA